CCUACGGGGAGCAGCAGUAGGGAAUUUUCGGCAAUGGGGGGAACCCUGACCGAGCAACGCCGCGUGAACGAAGAAGUUAUUCGUAAUGUAAAGUUCUUUUAACAGGGAAGAAAGAGAAAUUUGACGGUACCUGAAGAAUAAGCCCCGGCUAACUACGUGCCAGCAGCCGCGGUAAUACGUAGGGAGCGAGCGUUAUCCGGAAUUAUUGGGCGUAAAGGGUGCGUAGAUGGCAUAGUAAGUCUUUUGUAAAAAUGCUGGGCUCAACCCAGUAGGGCAAAAGAUACUGCAAAGCUAGAGUAUGACAGAGGCAAGUGGAACUACAGGUGUAGCGGUAAAAUGCGUAGAUAUAUGGAAGAACACCAGUGGCGAAGGCGGCUUGCUGGGUCGAUACUGACAUUGAGGCACGAAAGCGUGGGGAGCAAACAGGAUUAGAUACCCGAGUAGUC
rnacentral:rRNA from 1 species